rnacentral:rRNA from 1 species
UACGUAGGGGGCAAGCGUUGUCCGGAUUUAUUGGGCGUAAAGAGCGUGUAGGCGGCCAUACAGGUCAGCUGUGAAAACUCGAGGCUCAACCUCGAGACGUCGGUUGAAACCGUAUGGCUAGAGUCCGGAAGAGGAGAGUGGAAUUCCCGGUGUAGCGGUGAAAUGCGCAGAUAUCGGGAAGAACACCCGUGGCGAAGGCGGCUCUCUGGGACGGUACUGACGCUGAGGCACGAAAGCUAGGGGAGCAAACAGG